rnacentral:rRNA from 1 species
AGCGAACGCUGGCGGCAGGCCUAACACAUGCAAGUCGAACGGACCCUUCGGGGUUAGUGGCGGACGGGUGAGUAACACGUGGGAACGUGCCUUUAGGUUCGGAAUAGCUCCUGGAAACGGGUGGUAAUGCCGAAUGUGCCCUUCGGGGGAAAGAUUUAUCGCCUUUAGAGCGGCCCGCGUCUGAUUAGCUAGUUGGUGAGGUAAAGGCUCACCAAGGCGACGAUCAGUAGCUGGUCUGAGAGGAUGACCAGCCACAUUGGGACUGAGACACGGCCCAAACUCCUACGGGAGGCAGCAGUGGGGAAUCUUGCGCAAUGGGCGAAAGCCUGACGCAGCCAUGCCGCGUGAAUGAUGAAGGUCUUAGGAUUGUAAAAUUCUUUCACCGGGGACGAUAAUGACGGUACCCGGAGAAGAAGCCCCGGCUAACUUCGUGCCAGCCGCCGCCGUAACAC